UUUAACAUCACAUCUGUCAGAUUCACUCAUAUUGCUGUUUGUUGCAAUAAUCUGUUUUCAUUGCUAGUAUUAUUGCCAGUAUUGUUAGUAUGCUAGUAUUCUAGUAUAGAUAUAUACAUAUACGGUUGAUAUGUUCUACUGUUGGUAAACUUUUGGGUUAUUUUUUAGUUGGGGUUAUUAUGAAUAAAUCUGUUACUAACAUUUUCAUACGUGUCUUUUGGCAAAAGUAAGCAUUCAUUUUUGUUGAGUACGUCUCCAGGAUUAAAAUCACUGAUUCAUAAACUGGGCCAGCUACAUAAUCUGCAGGGCUCAGUGCAAAAUGAAAAUGCAAGGCUUCUUGCUUAAAAGGGCAAGUUCUGGUUCUGGUGGAAACGAGGCUCCUUGGGGAAGUCAGCAGCACCCAUACACCCUGUACUUCUUUGAGUGACCACUCAGGCGUGGGCUGCGCAGAAUUUGGUGCUCGCGGGCAUGGUGUUAUGCUGUAGGUGACUGAGGCAGCAAAGAACAAUGGCAGACCCACAGGCUAUAGCUACCUCCCUGCUCAGGUCUUGGAUUGGUUUGUUAGUGCUGCCAUCACAAAGGAUACGUGGCCAGUACUCCUUAAGACCGCCAUGGUCAUGCAAAACACAGAAAAAUUGAGAAAAUAUCACAGACCAGAGGAGACUGAGGAAACAUGUCAACAUGGUACCCUACAUUGGAUCCUGGAACAGCAAUGGAAAAAAAAAUCAGAGAAAUCCAAAUACAGUCUGAAGUUUACUGAACAGUAAUAUGCCAGUGUGACUUGCUUAGUUUAGAAAAUUUACUGUGGUAAUGUAACUGGGUGAGAAGUAUGCAAAUUCCUUGUACUGCCUUUGCAAAUUUUAUGUACAAAAGUCCAUAAAUAAAAACAAAAAAGUUUA